rnacentral:rRNA from 1 species
UACGUAGGGUGCAAGCGUUGUCCGGAAUUAUUGGGCGUAAAGAGCUCGUAGGCGGUUCGUCACGUCGGCUGUGAAAUCCCGAGGCUCAACCUCGGGUCUGCAGUCGAUACGGGCGGACUGGAGUACUGCAGGGGAGACUGGAAUUCCUGGUGUAGCGGUGAAAUGCGCAGAUAUCAGGAGGAACACCGGUGGCGAAGGCGGGUCUCUGGGCAGUAACUGACGCUGAGGAGCGAAAGCGUGGGGAGCAAACGGG